CCAGACUCCUACGGGAGGCAGCAGUGGGGAAUAUUGGGCAAUGGGCGCAAGCCUGACCCAGCAACGCCGCGUGAAGGAAGAAGGCUUUCGGGUUGUAAACUUCUUUUCUGGGGGACGAAGAAAGUGACGGUACCCCAGGAAUAAGCCACGGCUAACUACGUGCCAGCAGCCGCGGUAAUACGUAGGUGGCAAGCGUUAUCCGGAUUUAUUGGGUGUAAAGGGCGUGUAGGCGGGAAUGCAAGUCAGAUGUGAAAACUAUGGGCUCAACCCAUAGCCUGCAUUUGAAACUGUAUUUCUUGAGUGCUGGAGAGGCAAUCGGAAUUCCUAGUGUAGCGGUGAAAUGCGUAGAUAUUAGGAGGAACACCAGUGGCGAAGGCGGCCUGCUGGGCUUUUACUGACGCUGAGGCUCGAAAGUGUGGGGAGCAAACAGGAUUAGAUACCCUGGUAG
rnacentral:rRNA from 1 species